UGAGGAAUAUUGGUCAAUGGACGCAAGUCUGAACCAGCCAAGUAGCGUGCAGGAUGACGGCCCUAUGGGUUGUAAACUGCUUUUAUGUGGGAAUAAAUUGGCGCACGUGUGCGCCAUUGCAUGUACCCCAUGAAUAAGGACCGGCUAAUUCCGUGCCAGCAGCCGCGGUAAUACGGAAGGUUCAGGCGUUAUCCGGAUUUAUUGGGUUUAAAGGGAGCGUAGGCUGGAGAUUAAGUGUGUUGUGAAAUGUAGACGCUCAACGUCUGACUUGCAGCGCAUACUGGUUUCCUUGAGUACGCACAACGUUGGCGGAAUUCGUCGUGUAGCGGUGAAAUGCUUAGAUAUGACGAAGAACUCCGAUUGCGAAGGCAGCUGACGGGAGCGCAACUGACGCUUAAGCUCGAAGGUGCGGGUAUCAAACAGGAUUAGAUACCCUGGUAGUCCGCACAGUAAACGAUGGAUGCCCGCUGUUGGUACCUGGUAUCAGCGGCUAAGCGAAAGCAUUAAGCAUCCCACCUGGGGAGUACGCCGGCAACGGUG
rnacentral:rRNA from 1 species